CUGACGGAGACAACGCCGCGUGAGUGAAGAAGGUCUUCGAUCGUAAAGCUCUGUUGUUCGGGACGAAAGGAAAGGGGACGCAAUAGCUCGCAGUAAGUGAUUACACGUGAUCACCCGACAAUGAAAGCCCGCGCGUCAUAACAUCAUCACUGUCGCACACACACCCGCGCGUGAUAUAUACUAUAGCGUGCGCAGACGCUGUGUGCUCGCGAGAUAUAUAUGGGGCGCUAUAAGAGGCAGCCGCACAGUGCGGACUAGUGAUACGAUCUUCGUGCUCUAUAAAGGCUUACGGGGCGUCAUCCCCUGUUAGAAGGGGACAUAGACUAUGCGUUACUCGAGUGCCUCGAGAAGGAGAAGCGGGAGAUAUCCCCAGUGUUGUCGGUGAGAUGCGUAUAUAUAUGGAGAAAAACCCCUGGCGAGAGGCGGGCACUCUGGACAGCAACUGACACUCAGGGCGCGCAGAGCGCCCGGGUGAGCGAACGCGGG
rnacentral:rRNA from 1 species